UACGUAGGCAGCGAGCGUUGUUCGGAGUUACUGGGCGUAAAGGGUGUGUAGGCGGUUGCUUAAGUUUGGUGUGAAAUCUCCCGGCUCAACUGGGAGGGUGCGCCGAAUACUGAGUGACUAGAGUCCGGAAGAGGAGAGUGGAAUUCCUGGUGUAGCGGUGAAAUGCGCAGAUAUCAGGAAGAACACCCGUGGCUAAGGCGGCUCUCUAGUACGGUACUGACGCUGAGACGCGAAAGCGUGGGGAGCGAACAGG
rnacentral:rRNA from 1 species